ACUGCAUUAUAAGCACUUAAAGU
rnacentral:ncRNA from 3 species